rnacentral:lncRNA from 1 species
UUCAUGAGCUUUUAUGAGUGCAUAGUUGUCCCACACUUUGAUGAGUCCAUCUUUUAUAGAGGCUUUUAAUUAAUUUUGUUUCUACCUCAGUGUUGUAUGGAACUCUAGGAAUUGUAAUUAUUUAUUCCACCGCAUGUAUUUAUCUUAUAUGCACUCGUAAUCUGUUUCUGUAUCUAGCACCCUUAUGCUUUAAUUAGCCUUUGGGAUCUCACACUCAUUGUGAGUGAAAACUUUUUUUGCUUCACAUUUAAUUUUUUAUUUUGCAUCCCAAAAUUUUGGUUAAAUAUUACAUGAAAAAAAUUGAGUAUCCGUAGAGCGUAGCUGACAUUGAGUAGUACAAUUAGGAUACACUUACUAGUUAUAUCCAUCAGAAUUGAUCGAAUCCUUACGCUUUGUGUUAGUCGUGUCUUCUUUCUGAUUUAUAUUUCUAUUAUUUCAUUGUGUUUU